ACAGCAAUAUCAUGUUUAAAGACCGGUUCCCGAACGAUCACUGAAGUUAAGCAACGUCGAGCCUGAUCAGUACCUAGAUGGGUGAUGGGAAUUGCAGAUGCUGUA